CAGCCGCAACAGCCCGCUGGCUCGCACGGGGUGCUCUUCACCGAGUGUCCCGCGUGGCCGGCAGAGUUUACUUUGAAAAAAUUAGAGUGCUCAAAGCAGGCUACACUGACAGCCUGAAUGCCUAUGCAUGGAAUAAUGGAAUAGGACCUCGGUUCUAUUUUGUUGGUUUUCUGAACCCGAGGUAAUGACUAAUAGGAACAGGCGGGGGCAUUCGUAUUGCGACGCUAGAGGUGAAAUUCUUGGACCGUCGCAAGACGAACUACUGCGAAAGCAUUUGCCAAGGAUGUUUUCAUUAAUCAAGAACGAAAGUUAGAGGUUCGAAGGCGAUCAGAUACCGCCCUAGUUCUAACCAUAAACGAUGCUGACCAGCGAUCCGCCGGCGUUAUUCCCAUGACCCGGCGGGCAGCUUCCGGGAAACCAAAGUCUUUGGGUUCCGGGGGAAGUAUGGUUGCAAAGCUGAAACUUAAAGGAAUUGACGGAAGGGCACCACCAGGAGUGGAGCCUGCGGCUUAAUUUGACUCAACACGGGGAACCUCACCAGGCCCAGACACCGGAAGGAUUGACAGAUUGAGAGCUCUUUCUCGAUUCGGUGGGUGGUGGUGCAUGGCCGUUCUUAGUUGGUGGAGCGAUUUGUCUGGUUAAUUCCGAUAAC
rnacentral:rRNA from 1 species